GGGUUGUGAGGUUAAGCGAAUAAGCGUACACGGUGGAUGCCUAGGCAAUCAGAGGCGAUGAAGGACGUGCUAAUCUGCGAAAAGCGUCGGUAAGGUGAUAUGAACCGUUAUACCCGACGAUAUCCGAAUGGGGAAACCCAGUAUCCAAUGGAUACUAUCAUUAACUGAAUCCAUAG
rnacentral:rRNA from 1 species